rnacentral:misc_RNA from 1 species
AAAAGUUAAAACCAUAGACAUUGUCCCUACCCUUGUCUGUUCCUACUACAUGACACAGACAUUGGCCAUUUAAGUAGUUCCAAGUUCAAAUCCUACCAGACAAUAUAGAACCUGAUGGUCAAAUUUAAAGUAUAGCCAAACAUUGUACAGGCAUAUCUUCAGCACAGUUGCAAGAUCGGUGGAUUCGAUUAGUGAGCUGGAGAAAUGUCCUCUAAACUUCUCCACAAGAACUCGAUGAUAUCAGUAGUAAGGGUUGAUCUUUUCUUAUUCUCAAAUGCAAGUGAUGCAGCCCUUCUAAGUAAAGCAGAUCCAG